rnacentral:lncRNA from 1 species
UGGAACUCACUCUGUAGACCAGGCUGGCCUCGAACUCAGAAAUCUGCCUGCCUCUGCCUCCCAAGUGCUGGGAUUAAAAGCGUGCGCCACCACUGCCCGGCUUGGUGGUACUUUGGGGGAAUGUUUAGAAGGUGUGGCUUUGUUAAAGGAAGUACGUCACUAGUGGGGGAGGGGGACUCUGAAGUAGACUCUAGACAUCCCCCAUAUCACUGUCUCUGCCUUGUGCUUGCAGUUCAAGAUGUGAGCCCGUGCCUGCUGCCUGCUGUCUCUGAGCCACCGUUUUGGACCCUAACCCUCUGGAACCAUAAUCCCCAAUAAACUCUCCCUUCUAUCAGUUGCCCUCCUCAUGGCAUUAUCACAGCAAUAGAAAAGUAACUAGUGCCGUGUUAUGCACGUAUACUAGUGGCACUUAGAGACUGAGACAGAAGGGUAGCAAGUUCCAAGACAGCCUUGCCUAUGUACUAGGCUCAAGGCAGACCUGGGCUACAUACUGAGACCCUGACUCCAAAAAACUUAAAAUCAUGUUACACUUCAAAAGAAAGUGAAUUAGCCAGGUGUAGUGGUCCAUAUCUUUAAAUCCCAGCACCCAGGCAGGAGGCAGAUGGAUCUCUGUGAGUUCAAGGCCAGCCAGGGCUUUACAGCAAGGCCCUGUCUGGAAAAAAACAACUUCUUAUAAACUUUUGGUGGGGCUGAGAAAUGGUUCCUGUUGUUUAAUAGACUUAGUCACUUUUUCCUUCCCAAUGAAUUACUGUGUAUAUCAAGUACGAUAGAAUCACCAGUGGCUGAAAGUUUGUAAUGAUACAUCAGAGAUUAAUGCAAAGGGAAUGCAACUCCAUAAAACUAAGCGUGGCGCGAUGGUAUGUGCCUUAGAAGACAGGCAAUAGAAUCACAAGUUCAAGGUCAUCACGAGCUACACAGCAGUUUCAAGGACAGCCUCUACUGUACCAGCCCUUGCCUCAGCCAAACAAAAACAAACUAGAGGGGACAAACAUCUGUUACAAUUUUGAUAUAAAGUAUCCAGGUGUUUAAUAUUAGUUAUCUGUCUAGUGGCAGGAGAGACAAACAUCUGUUAUGAUUUUGACAUAAAGUACCCAAGUAUUUAAUAUUAGGAAUCUAUCUGGCAUUAUUGAAAGGUAACAGGGUCAUGAGAGCACUAAUUUCAUUGAAGAGAUUGUAGCUGUGGUGAUUUGAAUGAGAAUGGCCCCUCAUAGACACAUAGACUAGAAAUACUUGGUCACCAGGGAAUGACAUUGUUUGACAGGUUAAGAGGUAUGUAUGGUCUUGCUGGAAGAAGUGUUUCACUGGGAGUGGGCUUUUAGGUUUCAAAAAGCCCAUCCCAAGCCAGAGUUGCCAUGGCUGCCUGCGUGCUACAUUGCUUCCCACCAUGAUAAUGGACCAAAUGUCUGAAACUACAGUUUAAAAUAAUGCUAAACUACAGUUUAAAAUAAAUGCUUUCCUUUGUGAGAGUUGCCAUGAUCAUGAUGUCUCUUCAGAACAGUAGAACACUGAGACAGUAGCUGAAUGGAAUAUUGGGAGAUGGGGGCCUAGUUGGAGGAAGCAGUCACUGGGCUAUUCCCUUUAAAGGGCAUAUCAUGGCUCUAGUCCCUUACCCUCACCUCUCCUGUCCCUCCUCCUGUCUGCCAUGACUCUCUUGAGUCUUAUGUCUCACAUACAGGAGCCCAGAAACAACAGAGCCAAGUAACCACUAAGGACUGCAACCUUUAACCCCGUGAGCGAAAACAAACCCUUCUUCCCUUAAGUAGUUCAUCUCAGACAAAACACCAAGUGACACAAGAUCCUUACCUAGAAUGUGGCAGUGUGGCCAGACCAAAGUGAAAAAUCACCAAGUGAAAAGGAAAGCUGGGCAGUGGUGGCGUAUGACGCCUUUAAUCCCAGCACUCAGGAGGCAGAGGCAGGUGGAUUUCUGAGUUGGAGGCCAGCCUGGUCUACAAAGUAAGUUCCAGGACAGCCAGGGCUACAUAGAGAAACUCUGUCUCGAAAAAACAAAACAAAAACAAAAACAAGCUGGGCAUGGUGGAGGAGAUGAGAGUGCUGCAUCCAAAUUAGGAGACAACUGGAAGAGAGAGUGACACUGGAGACAACUGGAAGAGAGAGUGACACUGGACCUGACUUGAGCUUCUGAAACUCAAAGCUCACACUCCAGUGACAGUGUUUUGUUUUUGUUUUUGUUUUUGUUUUUUCCAACAAGGCCACACCUUCUAAUAGUGCCACUUCCUCAGGGCCUAGGGGGUCGAUUUUCAUUCAAACCACCAUAUGUGGCCUGACGUGGUUGGUGGCACAUACCUUUAGUCCUAGCAUAAGGGAGGCAGAGGCAGGUGGAUCUCUGAGUUAGAGGCCAGCCUGAUCUACAGAGUGAAUUCCAGGACAGUCAGGAUUACAGAGAAACCAUGUCUCAAAAACAUAAAUAAAUAAAUUACUUAACUAAUAAGAAAAGAAAAGAUAAAUAAAGUGAAGCGCAUUGGAAAGAUAUUGGUUAAGUGCACUGGCUACUCUUCCAGACAACGUAAGUUCAAGUCCCUGUACUCACAUAGCAGUUCACAGCAAUCUAUAACUCCAGUCCCUGGGAAUCUGACUUCCUCUUCUGGUACCAGCCAUGUUGCAGUGUACUUAUAUGCAUGUAAGAAACACAUACACAUACACACAUCUGUGUGUAUAUGUGUGUGUGUGUGUGUGUGUGUGUGUGUGUGUGUGUGUGUGUAAUUGUAGUACUCUGGAGGCUGGGACAGGAAGAUCACCAGAGUUCAAGGUCAGCCUAGAAAAUCUAACAAGUCCAAGGCCAGCCUGGGCUACAUGGUGAGGUCUUAUCCCUGUCUCACAAUUCAGAAAAAAAAAAUUAAAAAUGAGUAAAUUAAAAGGCUACUGUGCAG